rnacentral:rRNA from 1 species
CCCAGACUCCUACGGGAGGCAGCAGUGGGGAAUAUUGCACAAUGGGGGGAACCCUGAUGCAGCGACGCCGCGUGAGCGAUGAAGUAUUUCGGUAUGUAAAGCUCUCUCAGCAGGGAAGAAAAUGACGGUACCUGACUAAGAAGCCCCGGCUAACUACGUGCCAGCAGCCGCGGUAAUACGUAGGGGGCAAGCGUUAUCCGGAUUUACUGGGUGUAAAGGGAGCGUAGACGGCAGUGCAAGUCUGGAGUGAAAGGCGGGGGCUCAACCCCCGGACUGCUCUGGAAACUGUACGGCUGGAGUGCAGGAGAGGUAAGUGGAAUUCCUAGUGUAGCGGUGAAAUGCGUAGAUAUUAGGAGGAACACCAGUGGCGAAGGCGGCUUACUGGACUGUAACUGACGUUGAGGCUCGAAAGCGUGGGGAGCAAACAGGAUUAGAUACCCUAGUACA